rnacentral:rRNA from 1 species
CUGGCGGCGGCUUACACAUGCAAGUCGAGCGGAAACGAAGGGAGCUUGCUCCCAGGCGUCGAGCGGCGGACGGGUGAGUAACGCGUAGGAAUCUGCCUGAUAGAGGGGGAUAGCCCGGGGAAACCCGGAUUAAUACCGCAUACGCCCUAAGGGGGAAAGCAGGGGACCUUCGGACCUUGCGCUAUCAGACGGGCCCGCGUCUGAUUAGCUAGUUGGUGAGGUAAUAGCUCACCAAGGCUAUGACGGAUACCUGGUCUGAGAGGAUGAUCAGGCACAAUGGAACUGAGACACGGACCAUACUCCUACGGGAGGCAGCAGUGAGGAAUCUUCCACAAUGGACGAAAGUCUGAUGGAGCGACACCGCGUGAAGGAUGAAGGCCUAACGGUUGUAAACUUCUUUUCUGAAGGAGCAUAAUGAGAGUACUUCAGGAAUAAGGGACGGCUAAAUACGUGCCAGCAGCCGCGGUAAUACGUAUGUCCCAAGCGUUACCCGGAAUCACUGGGUGUAAAGGGUUCGUAGGUGGAAAUUUAAGUCAGGUAUGAAAGACCGGAGCUCAACUCCGAGUUUGUGCUUGAAACUGGAUUUCUAGAAUCAGGGAGAGGUAAGCGGAAUUCUAAGUGUAGGGGUGCAAUCCGUAGAUACUUAGAGGAACACCAAAAGCGAAGGCAGCUUACUGGAACCGUAUUGACGCUCAUGAACGAAAGCGUGGGUAGCGAAAAGGAUUAGAUACCCUUGUAGUCCACGCCCUAAACGAUGAUAACUAAGUGUUGCGACUAGCUCGCAGUGCUGUAGCUAACGCGUUAAGUUAUC